rnacentral:rRNA from 1 species
UACGUAGGGUGCAGGCGUUAAUCGGAAUUACUGGGCGUAAAGCGUGCGCAGGCGGUUUCUUAAGUCAGAUGUGAAAUCCCCGGGCUUAACCUGGGAACUGCGUUUGAAACUGGGAGACUUGAGUGUGGCAGAGGGGGGGUGGAAUUCCACGUGUAGCAGUGAAAUGCGUAGAUAUGUGGAGGAACACCAAUGGCGAAGGCAGCCCCCUGGGUCAACACUGACGCUCAUGCACGAAAGCGUGGGGAGCAAACAGG